rnacentral:rRNA from 1 species
GACGUAGGGCGCGAGCGUUGUCCGGAUUUAUUGGGCGUAAAGAGCUCGUAGGCGGCUUGUCGCGUCGACUGUGAAAACCCGCGGCUCAACUGCGGGCCUGCAGCCGAUACGGGCAGGCUAGAGUUCGGUAGGGGAGACUGGAAUUCCUGGUGUAGCGGUGAAAUGCGCAGAUAUCAGGAGGAACACCGGUGGCGAAGGCGGUUCUCUGGGCAUGUUCUGACGCUGGAGGAGCGAAAGUGUGGGGAGCGAACAGG